CAAGCUGACACGAGACACUGUGACAUUUGAGGCUCCUGGGGGGCCGUACACUAUGGAGGUCGAGAAAGGACGCAAUAUGUCGCAGAUUGGAGGAGAUGGAUGGGCCCGUUUCAUCGCUCGCAUGCGUCUUACUGGUGAUGAUGAAGAUGAUGAAGAUAAUGAGGACCCACUCGAUGAAGAUGAUGAUGACCCACUUCAUGAAGCCAUC
rnacentral:rRNA from 1 species